GGGGAUGUAGCUCAGAUGGUAGAGCGCUCGCUUAGCAUGUGAGAGGCACUGGGAUCGAUACCCGGCAUCUCCA
rnacentral:tRNA from 1 species